CGACAUCCAUCCCGCUCUCGCUACCCAACCCGUGCGGCACGGCCAUGGGCGCCGUGGCAGGGAAGACUAGGGUGCAUGGGGCUGCUCGGCGCUGCUGCACGGGAGGUGCCGGGCGUUGCUGUAGAGUAGACGGAGGAAGGGGAAGAGGUGAAUCGGGGAAGGUACAACCAUGGCGGCGGGGGGAACUGCGAACGGCGGCGCUCGGCGCUACAGCCGCAACGACAGAAGCUACAUCCGGUGGCGCGUGGAGCUGCAACCAUGGCGGCGACUGGGAGCUACGACGCCGACGAUGCUGGAACCGGCCAGUUUUUUUGCUGGAACGGGCGACAGGAGGUGCUACAACCGUGGCAGCAAAAUGUUGGAACCAACAGCCAUGGCCUCCAGCAGGUUUUUUUUUUGCGUCUACCAGCCAUUGUUUUUGCUCGAACCUUUAAGCAUUUUUGCUGGAACCAGCGAUUUUCAUGCAUGCGAGUACAGAAGUAUUUUUUUGCUGGGAUUGCAAUUUUUGGUGCAGCCGCCGGUGAGAAAGUUUGUUUCAACCACCCAUCUUUUUUGCUAGAAGCAUCAGAAUUUUUUGCUACCACCUUGUUUUGUUUUGUAUUUUGCUGUAACCAGCCUAAAAUUUUGCUACCAACGUCUUUCGAUUUUGCUGAAACCGACAUUUUUUUCUGCUUCAAUCAACUAACUGAAGAUUUUUGUUGCUUUCAAUUUCUUUGCUAGAUGAGGAACCGGCUUUUUAAAAAGCUUCAACCAUGUACUGGGAAGCUGCAACCGCAUGCACGAGAGCUGCAAGCCGUCUACACCGGAGCUACAACCAGAGGCGCCGGUCGCCGGCGAGGCUGCAAGCACGAGCACUCGGAGCUGUAGCCGACGGCGAUGUAUGUUGGACUGGAGAUGAUGUGUGCUUCAACGACGGGAGAUUGAAACCUGCUACGAGGUCCGGCGAGCGGCAUCAAUAGAGGGGGCGUUGCUGGCCGUGAAGCGUGGCGGCAGUGAUUUUUCUUUUGCGACCUGCGCGACGAGGUGAUGCGAACCCGGGAUGCCGAAGGUCUGCGGCGGCGACGAUGGUGACUAGCGGUGCGGGAGCCGCGGGCGCAUGCCCGGUGGCACAUCGGUUGGUGCGUGCGGGCUGCACUUUGUUCACGAUCCACUUUUUCCAGAUAGGGAAAAUCAGUGCGUGGAAACGUUAACGUUGACUUUGUGCUAUGAUUAUCUAACGGCCAUCAGCACAUUAAUCUAAUGAUUUAAAACGGGCCGACCGAAAGUUUCCGCCGGCGCACCGACGCCUAUCACCCGCCUAAACUAAAAGUUCC
rnacentral:rRNA from 1 species